rnacentral:rRNA from 1 species
CAACUUUCAGCAACGGAUCUCUUGGCUCUCGCAUCGAUGAAGAACGCAGCGAAAUGCGAUAAGUAAUGUGAAUUGCAGAAUUCAGUGAAUCAUCGAAUCUUUGAACGCACCUUGCGCUCCUUGGUAUUCCUUGGAGCAUGCCUGUUUGAGUAUCAUGG